AGAGUUUGAUCCUGGCUCAGGAUGAACGCUAGCUACCAGGCUUAACACAUGCAAGUCGAGGGGAAACGACAUCGAAAGCUUGCUUUUGUAUGGGCGUCGACCGGCGCACGGGUGAGUAACGCGUAUCCAACCUGCCCACCACUUGGGGAUAACCUUGCGAAAGUAAGACUAAUACCCAAUGAUAUCUCUAGAAGACAUCUGAGAGAGAUUAAAGAUUUAUCGGUGAUGGAUGGGGAUGCGUCUGAUUAGCUUGUUGGCGGGGUAACGGCCCACCAAGGCGACGAUCAGUAGGGGUUCUGAGAGGAAGGUCCCCCACAUUGGAACUGAGACACGGUCCAAACUCCUACGGGAGGCAGCA
rnacentral:rRNA from 1 species